rnacentral:rRNA from 1 species
AAUGCCCUACGGGAGGCAGCAGUGGGGGAUAUUGCACAAUGGGGGAAACCCUGAUGCAGCGACGCCGCGUGAGGGAAGACUGCCCUAUGGGUUGUAAACCUCUUUUGUCAGGGAGCAAUUGGCGCUACGUGUAGCGUUAUCGAGAGUACCUGAAGAAAAAGCAUCGGCUAACUCCGUGCCAGCAGCCGCGGUAAUACGGAGGAUGCGAGCGUUAUCCGGAUUUAUUGGGUUUAAAGUGUGCGUAGGCGGAAUGCCAAGUCAGCGGUAAAAUCGCGGGGCUCAACCUCGCUCCUCCGUUGUAACUG